ACCGCGGUAGCCCAGUUGGUUAGGGCGUCGGCAGUACUGAUUACUACUGAUGCCGAAGGUCGCAGGUUCAAAUCCUGCCUGCGGUG